rnacentral:lncRNA from 1 species
CUGGUGCCUCCAAAGCUGGGUACCCUUGUUUCCUGCUCUGUGACUAAAGAUUCUUAAUCACAUAUUCCACCCAAACCCCAGCAGCUUGCCUCAGGAAAUGGAGGAAUCAGUCCCGGGAGCCCAGGAUUGCUUAACUCAAAAGUAGCCAAGACAGGAGACUCAUAAUGUGGGGCCAGGUUGCCUUAUAAACAUCCCUGGAGCUUGCCUACCUGGGCUACUACGAACUGAUUAAAAUGUCAUCAUAUGAAUGGUGUUUGUUAUUGCUUCUCAGCCUUUUGGUUAAGAUCAAGUGUAGUAUGAAUGGUGUUUGCUGGAUUCAGGCAGUGUUCAACCCUCACUUAUCACACAGAGUGGCCCGAACACUUCAUUUUGAUCAAUGUAUAAAAUUUAUUUUUGUGACAAGUAAAAGAACACUGCAGGUCUUUUGACAUGGAAUAAAGUGAGGUACAAAUUGCUGUGGGUAAGAGACAGUUGGGGCCAAAGGAAGAUCACUGGUUUAUGGAGACUUGGGAGAAUCUGCCUCCUAAGAAUAAAAUAAAUCAGCCAGGGGCAGUCAACAGUCCUUCCUUCAUCAAGAAAUGGCACAGAAGGGCAGCCAAGAGGUUAUCCUAUGAGCAUUGUUAUGUCACAGUAGGAAUUGGAGUCGGGGGGAGGGGACGGGGUUGGGGGGAAUUACCAUUAGCAGUUGAAGUGGUAGGAAAUUUUUACAUAGGAGAGUAUGGUGAUCAUAUUUGCAUUUUAGAAAAUAAUGGAUAGCAGUUUGUUAGGGGAACAAAGGACAGAGACAGGGAGACUAUUUAAAACAUUAAUAAAAAAUACCAGUGACAGAUGAUGAGGCACCUACCUGAUGGGAAUGGAGAAGAGGAGAUGGAUUCAGAAACUACUUAGGAGAGGCAGGCAGUCCAAGGCUGAUGCCCAAAGAAGCCAUCAAGACCCGUGCUACUUCCAGCUCCUUCUGUCCUCAUAAUCAUAGAUGAUUGCUCCACAUCCAGCACCUAACACCAGUACUCAGUUAAAUUUUUUGCUGAAUAAAUCAAUGAAUGGAGAGGUAAAGAGGAACCAGAAGUUGGGGUUACAGAAGUCACUGAUGGAAGAGUUUCAAGAUAGUAGAAGUGGUCAGCCCUGUUAAGUGACAAGCCAAGGACUGAAGAAAGACUGGCAGAUUUGGCAAUCAGAUGAAGUGACCUGACCAAAGAGCAGCUUGUGUGAAGUAGUGAGGACAGGCGCUGGUCUGCGACUGGUUUAGGAGGAAAUGGAAAUGAAGAAGAAGAGAUAGGAAAGUGGAGAUUAUAUGAUGACAAGUAUCAAGAUAAAAAUGAACACAUUUGGCCUGCUACCUGAAUUUUUUAAAUCGGCUCACCAAAAAAUAUCAGGCUUAUUGAAAUAUUGGAAUAUCUGAUGAAGUUUCCUCUUAUCUUUGAGCUGUUUGGGUUUGGGUAAAAUUUCAAUGCUUAAAAUUCACGUCUACAACUAGCAGGCAGAACCUUAAAGUCCAGAACCAUUAAAGGGUUUAAUAAUGAGUCUCGCUCAGUUUCCAGGCUGGAGUGUAAUGGCGUGAUCUUGGCUCACUGCAACCUCUGCCUCCCAGCUUCAAGUGAUUCCCCUGCUUUAGCCUCCCAAGCAGCUGGGACUACAGGCAUGCACCAGCAUGGCCGGCUAAUUUUUUUUUGUAUUUUAGUACAGAUGGGGUUUAACCAUGUUGGCCAGGAUGAUCUUGAUCUCCUGACCUCGUGAUCUGCCCACCUCGGCCUCCCAAAGUGCUAGGAUUACAGGCGUGAGCCACCUUGCCCGGCCUUCUAUUCCUUUUUCUAAUGCAUUUGCCCCAGCUAUCUGUAUAGCCUGCAAUCUGGUAGAUGGACCACAGGGAAACCACUGCAGCAAACUAAAAGUGUCUAUCUCAGAUCCUUCCACCACCAUCAUUUCCAAAAUCACCGUCACUAUCUCCACCACCAUCACCUUUACCACCAUCACCACUAUCAUCCUCAUCCUUCCCAUCACCAUCUCCACUGCUAUCUCUCAACACCAUCAUCAUCACCACCACCACCAUCAUCACCAUGAGCACCACCUCUGUCGUCAUCAAAAAAGCACACAGUUCAGGCUGGCCUGUUGGAGGAUAACAGAUCAUGUGGAGCAGAGACGAGCUGGCCCACCUCAGGCCCUACCAGAGCAAUCAGCUUGCCAAACACGACAUACAUCAGCGAGGCCAUCCUAGACCAUCCAGCCCUAGCUGAGCCAGCCCAGACCAGAGACUCAUGAGA